AAACGAAGAGGAGGCACAAGCAAUUCAGAGAAGAGAAAAGAAGCCAACAGGAACCAACGCAGAUCAUUUUGCCUUGGUGGUCUUCUUCUGUCGCGCAGGGCGCAUGACUACAACCUCCUCCGCGCUGUCGUGCGCUCCUCCUCCACCUCUACUUGCACCUGCUCCUCCUUAUCCCCAAAACAGAGCCCAAGCAAACCCUAGUUCCCUUCUUCCCCCUCCAUGCGCCGCGACCAGUUCCCCUUCUCCACGCAGGACUGCAGACAAGGAUAUGCAGCGGCAGUUUUGGAACAAAUUCAGACAUAUCCUGAGCUCCGCCGGAAGAAAUCGACGUCGACCAGUCGCUCCGGCCAUCUCCCGGCACCGUCGACCCCUCCACAAGCAUCCUGGACCUCGUCGCCGGCGACUCUCCGUUGAUCCUCGGUCCCAGCGCCUACUCCACCACGUCCGCCCUGCCGAGACGCAUGUCCGGUGCCGUUUUCUUCCUCGCCGUUCGCCCUCCAUCGCCAGGGUUGUGCUUGUCGUCAUCUACUUUGAUCCCUGCGUCCCCCGCUGUUAUGCAUCUCUGUCAGAUAGAGUUAUCUUCGACAGUUGCUUGGUCCAAAGAUCCACAGUGUCUGAACCAUCUCAACAUCUGAAUUUCAGAUCGACUAGUUCGUGCCUUAGUUUCAGCCGUGAGCUCCUUUGUUCAAAUCCCCAAAGCUGCCAAUUAAAUUCAUCAUUUCUUUCCUUGUUUUGUUCAGAUGUCGCGCCUGAAGUUGGUUCUUUUAUACACGAGAGCAAACUAAAUCAGCAUCGUCAAAGCAGUAUGGUGGCCAGGGCCUUGAACUCUUUCUAGUUGGUAUGUGCUAAUCUCGUCGCCCGUGCCGGCUAGAUCGCCCGCAGCUUUCCUUGUUCAGACUUCAGAGGUCACCCGACCUGUGCUGACCUGCACAUGCACGAACCAUCCCGAAGUUCAGAUACCUGGCUAGGCAAGUCACUUCUUUUUCUUGGUUUCAUACAAAUCCUCCUUGUUUCAUCUGUCUUUGACUGGGGCGUUCCUCUCAGGAGAAAAACGUAUCAGCAGCUACAUCCAAUUCCAUGUCCUGUGAGUGCUUUCCUGGGCAUGUGCAUCAGUCUCCGUGUCUGGCUAAUCGUUGCAUUUGCUUCUUUCCGGAUAGGAUCACGAAGUGGUGCGGUGAGAUACGACAAGUUCUCCGGAUGUCCCUCGGCAAUCUUUAACAGGCAAGCAUUUUCCCUUAUACUUCUGCCUCUGCAGAAGUCGCUCACCUAUUUUAUUUUGCCUUCUCCCUCAUGCUAUCCUUAAGUUGCGUUCUUGUCACGUGUCCCUUCCACUUGUUACCUCAAACAACCUAUAUUGCCUCCACCAACCACCUACAACUAUUGUUUGGUUAUCGGGUCUGCCUUGCGAGUCGUAGUGCAUGCUAGUGCUGUGUUAUCUUGAUACCGUUAUUGCUAUCUUAUCGGGUUAUCUGUUGGGGAUCAUGACACAUGCUACAUGGUUAUAUCUGUUGAGGGUAUCAUGGUUACUUGUUAAUAGUUGUUAAGCGGAGGCAUCGGUGGGUCAGUUGCUCGUUUUAUGACGGCUCACUUGUGUUUCUUUAAAGCUUAGGA